UACGUAGGGUGCGAGCGUUGUCCGGAAUUAUUGGGCGUAAAGGGCUCGUAGGCGGUUUGUUGCGUCGGACGUGAAAACUCAGGGCUUAACCCUGAGCCUGCUUCCGAUACGGGCAGACUAGAGGUAUGCAGGGGAGAACGGAAUUCCUGGUGUAGCGGUGAAAUGCGCAGAUAUCAGGAGGAACACCGGUGGCGAAGGCGGUUCUCUGGGCAUUACCUGACGCUGAGGAGCGAAAGUGUGGGGAGCGAACAGG
rnacentral:rRNA from 1 species